GUGGGUGUAGCUCAGUUGGUAGAGCAUCAGAUUGUGGCUCUGGAGGCCGAGGGUUCAAGUCCCUUCAUCCACC
rnacentral:tRNA from 1 species